AUUGAACGCUGGCGGCAGGCCUAACACAUGCAAGUCGAACGAGUGGCGGACGGGUGAGUAAUGUCUGGGACACUGCCUGAUGGAGGGGUAUAACUACUGGAAGCGGUAGCUUAUCCCGCAUACCAUCGUAAGUGCCCAGAUGGGAUUAGCUAGUAGGUGGGGUAAAGGCUCACCUAGGCGACGAUCCCUAGCUGGUCUGAGAGGAUGACCAGCCACACUGGGACUGAUACACGGUCCAGACUCCUACGGGAGGCAGCAGUGGGGAAUAUUGCACAAUGGGCGCAAGCCUGAUGCAGCCAUGCCGCGUGUAUGAAGAAGGCCUUAGGGUUGUAAAGUACUUUCAGCGGGGAGGCGUUACCCGCAGAAGAAGCACCGGCUAACUCCGUGCCAGCCGCCGCGGUAAUAC
rnacentral:rRNA from 1 species